rnacentral:rRNA from 1 species
AACACGUACACAACCUUCCUUUUAGUGGGGAAUAGCCCAGAGAAAUUUGGAUUAAUACCCCGUAACAUAACGAUGUGGCAUCACAUUGUUAUUAUAGCUUCGGCGCUAGAUGAUGGGUGUGCGUAUGAUUAGAUAGUUGGCGAGGUAACGGCUCACCAAGUCUACGAUCAUUAGCUGAUGUGAGAGCAUGAUCAGCCACACGGGCACUGAGACACGGGCCCGACUCCUACGGGAGGCAGCAGUAAGGAAUAUUGGUCAAUGGACGCAAGUCUGAACCAGCUAUGCCGCGUGAAGGAUUAAGGUCCUCUGGAUUGUAAACUUCUUUUAUCUGGGACGAAAAAAGGUCUUUCUAGAUCACUUGACGGUACCAGAUGAAUAAGCACCGGCUAACUCCGUGCCAGCAGCCGCGGUAAUACGGAGGGUGCAAGCGUUAUCCGGAUUCACUGGGUUUAAAGGGUGCGUAGGCGGGCAGGUAAGUCAGUGGUGAAAUCCUGGAGCUCAACUCCAGAACUGCCAUUGAUACUAUCUGUCUUGAAUAUUGUGGAGGUAAGCGGAAUAUGUCAUGUAGCGGUGAAAUGCUUAGAUAUGACAUAGAACACCCAUUGCGAAGGCAGCUUACUACGCAUAUAUUGACGCUGAGGCA